rnacentral:rRNA from 1 species
ACUGCUCAGUAACACGUCGAUAAUCUGCCCUUAGGUGGAGGAUAUCCUCGGGAAACUGAGGUCAACACUCCAUAGAAAAUUAUAACUGGAAUGUUUUAUUUUUGAAAGGUUACGCCUAAGGAUGAGUCGGCGGCUGAUUAGGUAGUUGGUGGGGUAAUGGCCCACCAAGCCUCAGAUCAGUAGGGGCCUUGAGAGAGGUUGCCCCGAGAAGGACACUUAGACACUGGUCCUAGCCCUACGGGGUGCAGCAGGCGCGAAAACUUUACAAUGCACGAAAGUGUGAUAAGGGAACCCAGAGUGCUUAUGCUUUGCAUAGGCUUUUGCCAAGAGUAAAUAUCUUGGAGAAUAAGUAGUGGGUAAGACUGGUGCCAGCAGCCGCGGUAACCCCAGCGCUACAAGUGGUGAUCGCUUUUAUUGGGCUUAAAGCGUUCGUAGCCGGAUAAAUAAAUUCUUUGUGAAAUCAAUGAGCUCAACUUAUUGGCGUGCAGAGAAGACUGUUUAUCUUGGAACCGGGAGAAGUAUGGAGUAUUUCUAGGGGAGCGGUAAAAUGUUAUAAUCCUAGAAGGACUACCGGUGGCGAAGGCGCCAUACUAGAACGGAUUCGACGGUGAGGAGCGAAAGCCAGGGGAGCAAAACGGAUUAGAUACCCGAGUAGUCCUGGCAGUAAACGCUGUGAACUAGGUGUUGCAUUUUCUUAGUGGAAGUGCAGUGUCGGAGCGAAAGUGUUAAGUUCACCGCCUGGGAAGUACGGUCGCAAGGCUGAAACUUAAAGGAAUUGGCGGGGGAGCA